UACGAAGGGGGCUAGCGUUGCUCGGAAUCACUGGGCGUAAAGCGCACGUAGGCGGAUUGUUAAGUCAGGGGUGAAAUCCUGGAGCUCAACUCCAGAACUGCCUUUGAUACUGAAGAUCUUGAGUUCGGGAGAGGUGAGUGGAACUGCGAGUGUAGAGGUGAAAUUCGUAGAUAUUCGCAAGAACACCAGUGGCGAAGGCGGCUCACUGGCCCGAGUACUGACGCUGAGGCACGAAAGCGUGGGGAGCAAAGCAGGG
rnacentral:rRNA from 1 species